AGCGAAGAUAAGUCGAAACCACUUCAAGGUAUCCAAACAUACAGGGAAUAUAAGGAAGCUUUACGUCAACAACGAGCGCAGGAUGUGCCAUCUGUCUAUAGAACCAGGGAUUCAGACGAUCAAAGUUACAAAACAGAACCAAGCACUCCUACCCAUCAUACCUCUUCGACAUUGGCCACUUCAAAAUCAGAUCCGACUCCUCUAAAUUCCGCUUUUGGAAGC